AGGUCGUGUUGUAGGCAGUUUGUAAGCAACCCUUGUACAUUUCCUAUGCUUCAUACAAAGAUUCUCCACCUUUUUGUUUGAAGUUAGAAAUGUUUUUUUUGCAACU